CAGGCACCUAACCCCAGGGCCGGCUGUUUGUGGUAGCAGCAGUUUAAGCAGAAGGUGCUGACAGCAACAAGAUCUUGUUGCCUUUGGGGGCUGUAGCUGUGUCCCUCCAAGUGAAUUGGGAGGUUCUAUACCU